GGAGUUUGGACCGUGUCUCAGUUCCAAUGUGGGGGACCUUCCUCUCAGAACCCCUACUGAUCGUGGGCUUGGUGGGCCGUUACCCCGCCAACUGGCUAAUCGGACGCGGGUCCAUCUCAUACCACCGGAGUUUUUCACACUGUACCAUGCGAUACCGUGCGCUUAUGCGGUAUUACCAGUCGUUUCCAACUGCUAUCCCCCUGUAUGAGGCAGGUUACCCACGCGUUACUCACCCGUCCGCCACUAGGUUUUAACAAUCCUCUGCCGAAGC
rnacentral:rRNA from 1 species